rnacentral:lncRNA from 1 species
CUCAUAUAACCUUGUUCCUUACGGAGGUGUAGAAAAUCUGUAGCAUGAUGUAAUGGAAUUAAGAAUGGGUCAAUGAAAUAUACAGCUCCUUUCUGGAAUGUACCUGUUCUGCUACAACCAUGGAUAUCCUGACGUUUCUGUGUCUUUCAGGGACAAGGGUAAUAGAGGAGUUUCAGACUCCCUCUAAAACAAAACAACAACUGAACAAUAAACAACAGAAAAAGAACACAAAAAAAGACGGCGGUACUCUUUCC